UUUUACGGACCCGACCAUCGUCAGGGAGGCGGUUGGGGACUUCCCUAUUCUUCAGGGAUGGUGGAGAUCUGGCCGAGAUAAGUCUAUAUGGAAACUUCGUUCGCUCCCACCAGUGCCGCCCCAGGUUGGGUUUCAGCCUAUAAGCAAUGCCUUCGCCCUCUCUUUCCUCCAGUGCUUCUACUGGACCAGGGAGGGUCAAGCCAGGACUCGAGCUAGAUGGCAAUUGAAAAUCCGGGUUCCAGUAAGCAGGGUGUGGCAGGGAGUUGGUCAGGAGGGUUACCUGCUGAAGCCGUUCAUGUAGGCUGUCUCCCCCCAGGCCAGAAGACACGUCCUCCCUCCCUUUUCGC